ACAACUUUCAGCAACGGAUCUCUUGGCUCUCGCAUCGAUGAAGAACGCAGCGAAAUGCGAUAAGUAAUGUGAAUUGCAGAAUUCAGUGAAUCAUCGAAUCUUUGAACGCACCUUGCGCUCCUUGGUAUUCCGAGGAGCAUGCCUGUUUGAGUCUCAUGGAAU
rnacentral:rRNA from 1 species